rnacentral:rRNA from 1 species
UGGGGAAUAUUGGGCAAUGGGCGAAAGCCUGACCCAGCAACGCCGCGUGAUUGAAGAAGGUCUUCGGAUUGUAAAGAUCUGUCCUAUGGGAAGAAACAAAUGACGGUACCAUAGGAGGAAGCCCCGGCUAACUACGUGCCAGCAGCCGCGGUAAAACGUAGGGGGCGAGCGUUGUCCGGAAUUACUGGGCGUAAAGGGUGCGUAGGCGGUUUUUUAAGUCAGAUGUGAAAUACCCGGGCUUAACCUGGGGGGUGCAUCUGAUACUGGGGAACUUGAGUGCAGGAGAGGAAAGUGGAAUUCCUAGUGUAGCGGUGAAAUGCGUAGAUAUUAGGAGGAACACCAGUGGCGAAGGCGACUUUCUGGACUGUAACUGACGCUGAGGCACGAAAGCGUGGGGAGCAAACA